AUUUAUUUAAUAUAAAAAGUAUAUUUGGCUUCCAACCAAAAAGUUUAAUUUUUAAAAUAAAUA
rnacentral:tRNA from 1 species